GCUCUCUGAUUUCCUCCCUAGGUGCCUGGCAGUGUAGAGGGUGGUGAGGAUGCUGUGCCCUCUCAAGUAUCUCACCCUCUCUGGCUGUCUGCAUCUAGGGCUCUUCUUUGACCCCAGC
rnacentral:precursor_RNA from 15 species